CCUACGGGAGGCAGCAGUGAGGAAUAUUGGUCAAUGGACGAGAGUCUGAACCAGCCAAGUAGCGUAAAGGAUGACUGCCCUAUGGGUUGUAAACUUCUUUUAUAAAGGAAUAAAACGAGGCACGUGUGCCUUUUUGCAUGUACUUUAUGAAUAAGGAUCGGCUAACUCCGUGCCAGCAGCCGCGGUAAUACGGAGGAUCCGAGCGUUAUCCGGAUUUAUUGGGUUUAAAGGGAGCGUAGAUGGGUUGUUAAGUCAGUUGUGAAAGUUUGCGGCUCAACCGUAAAAUUGCACUUGUUACUGGCAGUCUUGAGUACAGUUGAGGUAGGCGGAAUUCGUGGUGUAGCGGUGAACUGCUUAGAUAUCACGCAGAACCCCGAUUGCGAAGGCAGCUUACUAAACUGUGACUGACAUUGAUGCACGAAAGCGUGGGUAUCGAACAGGAUUAGAUACCCCUGUAGUC
rnacentral:rRNA from 1 species